AUGAACGUUGGCGGCGUGUCUAAGGCAUGCAAGUUGAGCGACGCGCCAUGUACCGCAAGGUACGUGGUGGCGAGCGGCAGACGGGUGCGUAACACAUUGGUAACCUACCUUCGAGACGGGGACAGCUUUCCGAAAGGAAAAUUAAUACCCGAUGGUCAUGGGGGGACAAAAGUCAUUCCCAUGUAAAGAUUUAUCACUCGAAGAGGGGCCUAUGGCCUAUCAGCUAGUUGGCGAGGUAAUGGCUCACCAAGGCUAUGACGGGUAGGGGAUGUGAGAGCAUGAUCCCCCUCACUGGGACUGAGACACUGCCCAGACUCCUACGGGAGGCUGCAGUCGAGAAUAUUCCGCAAUGCGCGAAAGCGUGACGGAGCGACGCCGCGUGCAGGAUGACGCCCUUCGGGGUGUAAACUGCUUUUAGUAGGGAAGAAUUUGUGACGGUACCUACUGAAUAAGAGGUUGCUAACUCUGU
rnacentral:rRNA from 1 species